rnacentral:lncRNA from 1 species
CAAGCAUCGCGUUAGUCAGUUAGCGGCGAUUUCAGCACAGAUCAGAGUUAAUUAAACACACAUGAUGCGAUUAUGAAGCCUUCGACUCGCUGCUGUUGAUACAAAUCCGACACGACAAAUACUGGUAAAUUACAGAAUCAUAUAUAGGGUCGAGGUGCAGCUAGUGCUACUGCUGCACGCACCGUGGACGGGCGCGAGGGGCCAGAAGAAGGAACCCACACCACGCCAGCAGAUCAAUCCACACACCAUUCAGUUUAAGUCACCUGCGGCUGCAGAGACCGGGGCGGCGUUCUUCAGCCCAGUGUAGUGUCUGUCAUCUUAUGGAGAACAGGGACGACGACGACGGAACUGACGCUGCCGGCCUAGUACAUUUCGCCGGCGAACAGCAUACCGUUGGGCGACUGGGAGCUGGCGGCCGAGAAGUCGGAGGACGUCAUGGGUAUCGAGAUCGACAGCUGGGUGGCCGAGAAGGAGGCGAGGCUGGAGUUGUCGUCGGUCAGGUCCGACCACGAGUCCCUCGUCUUGGGCCACUCGUCGAAGAACGGCCGCAGCGUCUGGUUCUCCUGCUUCGCGGAGUCCAUGGCGCCGCCGCCGCCGAAGUCGCCGCACCCCGGGAAGGAGAGGGGCUGCUGCUGCUGCUGCCGUUCGGACUUGACGGCACUGUUGCUGCUGCUGCUGUUGUUGUUCUGACCCAGGUCACUAGUUGCUCCAAGCUGAGGAGCGUAGCUUGAGAGCGGGAAUGUGGUCGUUUGAGACGAUGGCGGCAGGCGCCAUGGGUUCUCCACGGAGGUAUUCAUGGCUUCUGUCAUGAGCUGACUGUGCUCGUCUGCCAAAGAUCUUAUUCCAUAUGCGGUAUACCUGAAUAUCAUGUCAAAGACCGAGAGUUAAUCGGUGAAUUCGCAUAUAUGAAGUACAAACAUGCAACAAGCAUUAGAAAAGAGUCUUUCCACGAGUUAUUCCUA